CCUACGGGUGGCUGCAGUGGGGAAUAUUGGACAAUGGGCGAAAGCCUGAUCCAGCCAUGCCGCGUGUGUGAAGAAGGCCUUCGGGUUGUAAAGCACUUUCAGUGGGGAAGAAAGCCUUGGGGCUAAUACCCUCGAGGAAGGACAUCACCCACAGAAGAAGCACCGGCUAACUCCGUGCCAGCAGCCGCGGUAAUACGGAGGGUGCGAGCGUUAAUCGGAAUUACUGGGCGUAAAGCGCGCGUAGGCGGUCUGAUAAGCCGGUUGUGAAAGCCCCGGGCUCAACCUGGGAACGGCAUCCGGAACUGUCAGGCUAGAGUGCAGGAGAGGAAGGUAGAAUUCGCGGUGUAGCGGUGAAAUGCGUAGAGAUCGGGAGGAAUACCAGUGGCGAAGGCGGCCUUCUGGACUGACACUGACGCUGAGGUGCGAAAGCGUGGGUAGCAAACAGGAUUAGAUACCCUUGUAGUC
rnacentral:rRNA from 1 species